UACAGAGGGGGCGAGCGUUGUUCGGAAUUACUGGGCGUAAAGGGCGCGUAGGCGGCCUUCUAAGUCGGACGUGAAAUCCCUCGGCUCAACCGAGGAACUGCGUCCGAUACUGGUUGGCUUGAAUUCGGGAGAGGGAUGCGGAAUUCCAGGUGUAGCGGUGAAAUGCGUAGAUAUCUGGAGGAACACCGGUGGCGAAGGCGGCAUCCUGGACCGAUAUUGACGCUGAGGCACGAAAGCGUGGGGAGCAAACAGG
rnacentral:rRNA from 1 species